rnacentral:rRNA from 1 species
GAUGAACGCUGGCGGUAUGCUUAACACAUGCAAGUCGAACGGGGUUCAUAGUCACCUAGUGGCGGACGGGUGAGUAACGCGUGAGAAUCUGGCCUCAGGUCCGGGACAACCACGGGAAACGGUGGCUAAUACCGGAUGUGCCAUAUUGGUGAAAGAUUAAUUGCCUGAGGAUGAGCUCGCGUCUGAUUAGCUAGUUGGUGGGGUAAAGGCUUACCAAGGCGACGAUCAGUAACUGGUCUGAGAGGAUGACCAGUCACACUGGGACUGAGACACGGCCCAGACUCCUACGGGAGGCAGCAGUGGGGAAUUUUCCGCAAUGGGCGAAAGCCUGACGGAGCAAUACCGCGUGAGGGAGGAAGGCUCUUGGGUUGUAAACCUCUUUUUUCAGGGAAGAAGAAUGACGGUACCUGAGGAAUCAGCAUCGGCUAACUCCGUG